AUUGAACGCUGGCGGCAGGCCUAACACAUGCAAGUCGAGCGGAUGAAGGGAGCUUGCUCCUGGAUUCAGCGGCGGAAGGGUGAGUAAUGCCUAGGAAUCUGCCUGGUAGUGGGGGAUAACGUCCGGAAACGGGCGCUAAUACCGCAUACGUCCUGAGGGAGCAAGUGGGGGAUCUUCGGACAUCACGCUAUCAGAUGAGCCUAGGUCGGAUUAGCUAGUUGGUGGGGUAAAGGCCUACCAAGGCGACGAUCCGUAACUGGUCUGAGAGGAUGAUCAGUCACACUGGAACUGAGACACGGUCCAGACUCCUACGGGAGGCAGCAGUGGGGAAUGUUGGACAAUGGGCGAAAGCCUGAUCCAGCCAUGCCGCGUGUGUGAAGAAGGUCUUCGGAUUGUAAAGCACUUUAAGUUGGGAGGAAGGGCAGUAAGUUAAUACCUUGCUGUUUUGACGUUACCAACAGAAUAAGCACCGGCUAACUUCGUG
rnacentral:rRNA from 1 species